UACAGAGGAUGCAAGCGUUAUCCGGAAUGAUUGGGCGUAAAGAGCUCGUAGGCGGUGUGUCGCGUCGGCCGUGAAAACCUGCAGCUUAACUGUGGGCUUGCGGUCGAUACGGGCAUCACUGGAGUUCGGCAGGGGAGACUGGAAUUCCUGGUGUAGCGGUGAAAUGCGCAGAUAUCAGGAGGAACACCGGUGGCGAAGGCGGGUCUCUGGGCCGAUACUGACGCUGAGGAGCGAAAGCGUGGGGAGCGAACAGG
rnacentral:rRNA from 1 species